AGGACGCUUUUAGUCAGCAAAUACUGCAUACGGUCUCCUGCAAUUGAACAUAACAGUGUCAACUCAGUAACAUUUUCUGCUCUCUUACUUUCAAAGUGUUUAGUUGCUUCAGGUGGAAAGAUGUUGAGAAUCUUCGUCAAGUUCUUCCUGGUUGCUGUGUUGUGCAUUUGCUGGACCCAUGGACGCGUAGUUGAAGCUCCAGUGAAGAAUGCCCUUGAGAAUGUCCCAAAGCAAGACUGGGAUUAUGAUGGUCUUGUCUGCGUCCCCGUUUAUCCAUAUGAUGCAGUAGAAGGGAUGGAGGAGUGGUGCAAUAUUAAUUGCAAUUGGGUUCCUCAAUACUGCCCCGAAACUCACUGCUAUUGUGUGGAUUACACUCCCAUGAUCUGUGAUCCAGAUGCAAAAUAAACUGCAAAAAGGAACAGAAUUUUGCCAACUGACUAUUUCACCCAAUCAGACCUUCUGAAUUUAUCCUAUGUCAAGUGGUUUGACAUUGUAUUCAUUCUGGAAGCAAUUCUAAAUGAGCACAUUAUUUCGGAACUUUUCCGGUUGUUGAGUGUAUUGAAAUGUUAUGCUUUUAACUUGUAAUUAAUUCUAAAUGAGCACAACAUUAUAAAAUUUACUAAUUCAGGAGUCUGUCAUAAAAUGAUGAUUUAUAAUGUUUGGGAAACGAUGCACAUUGUUUUUUCAGUAGAUUGGAUUCUUUUGGAUUUUUGUUAGUUACUUAGCAAAGGUUAUUAACUAAUAAAGACUGAAUGAAGCACAA